AAAAUUUUUGGAAAAAACUUUAAAUUCCAUCAUUGUAGUUUCAUAUUUUCUCAUUUUAGUACCAUGUGGUUUAAAGUGCAUCAAUUUAGUGUUAUGUGGUUUCAUUUUUAUCUUUUUAUUAUCGAUUUCAUUAAUUUUUUCGUUAAAUUAGUGACAAAGUUAAAACUAAAAAAUACUAAAUGGAUAUUCAAUAAACUUAGAUGGGGUAUCUGAAGUUUUUUAUAUAUAAUUUAACGAAAUAUUAACGAAAAAACAGACGAAAAGAUAAAAAUAAAACUAUAGAAUACUAACUUGAUAUACUUUAAACCAUAGAACACUAACUGUAUUUGAUUUGAUUUAUAUAAUAACAAAAGUAAUUUUUCAUUAACAUUUGUUCGAUUAAAUGAAAAAAAAAUCACAUUUAUUUGGUCCGGUGAAA
rnacentral:lncRNA from 1 species